rnacentral:rRNA from 1 species
UGGGGAAUAUUGGGCAAUGGGGGAAACCCUGACCCAGCAACGCCGCGUGAAGGAAGAAGGCUUUCGGGUUGUAAACUUCUUUUAUAAGGGAAGAAAUUUGACGGUACCUUAUGAAUAAGCUCCGGCUAACUACGUGCCAGCAGCCGCGGUAAUACGUAGGGAGCGAGCGUUGUCCGGAUUUACUGGGUGUAAAGGGCGCGUAGGCGGGACUGUAAGUCUGAUGUGAAAUGCCAAGGCUCAACCUUGGAGGUGCAUUGGAAACUGUGGUUCUUGAGUGAUGGAGAGGCAGGCGGAAUUCCGUGUGUAGCGGUGAAAUGCGUAGAUAUACGGAGGAACACCAGUGGCGAAGGCGGCCUGCUGGACAUUAACUGACGCUGAGGCGCGAAAGCGUGGGGAGCAAACAGGAUUAGAUACCCCCGUAGUCC